GUGGGGAAUCUUAGACAAUGGGCGCAAGCCUGACGCAGCCAUGCCGCGUGAAUGAUGAAGGUCUUAGGAUUGUAAAAUUCUUUCACCGGGGACGAUAAUGACGGUACCCGGAGAAGAAGCUCCGGCUAACUUCGUGCCAGCAGCCGCGGUAAUACGAAGGGGGCUAGCGUUGCUCGGAAUUACUGGGCGUAAAGGGCGCGUAGGCGGACAGCUUAGUCAGAGGUGAAAGCCCAGGGCUCAACCUUGGAAUUGCCUUUGAUACUGGCUGUCUUGAGUUUGGGAGAGGUGAGUGGAACUCCGAGUGUAGAGGUGAAAUUCGUAGAUAUUCGGAAGAACACCAGUGGCGAAGGCGACUCACUGGCCCAAUACUGACGCUGAGGCGCGAAAGCGUGGGGAGCAAACAGGAUUAGAUACCCUAGUAGUCC
rnacentral:rRNA from 1 species